UGGCGGCAGGCCUAACACAUGCAAGUCGAGCGGUAACAUUUCUAGCUUGCUAGAAGAUGACGAGCGGCGGACGGGUGAGUAACGCGUAGAAAUCUACCUAGUAGUGGGGGAUAGCCCAGAGAAAUUUGGAUUAAUACCGCAUACGCCCUACGGGGGAAAGCGGGGGAUCUUCGGACCUCGUGCUAUUAGAUGAGUCUGCGUCGGAUUAGCUUGUUGGUGAGGUGAUGGCUCACCAAGGCGACGAUCCGUAGCUGGUCUGAGAGGAUGACCAGCCACACUGGAACUGAGACACGGUCCAGACUCCUACGGGAGGCAGCAGUGGGGAAUAUUGCACAAUGGGCGCAAGCCUGAUGCAGCCAUGCCGCGUGUGUGAAGAAGGCCUUAGGGUUGUAAAGCACUUUCAGCAGUGAGGAAAGGGGUGUCGUUAAUAGCGCCAUCCUGUGACGUUAACUGCAGAAGAAGGACCGGCUAACUCCGUG
rnacentral:rRNA from 1 species